CUAGCUCAGCCAUUCAUUGGCUAGGUAUUCAGAAGCUGGGCAGAAGGCCUUUGCCAUUCAACUGUAUUAGAGCAGAAUUUUGGAGUGACUGUGGAAGCAACCAGUCACAUUUUGACUUGCAAUGGGUGGGACCGUUUAAAAAAGAAACUGGCGUGUCUAGGCCUUCUACUGAAUGCGCAAGAGAAAAAAAUGAGUGGCGCAAGCAAUAUUUUUCCCACGCUAAAGCUAGUAACGCUAGCUAGCUUUUGUUGUAGUAGUGUGACAAUGUAAGCUAGCUUGUGUUGUAGUAAUGUGACAAUGGGGACAGUGGCUGCUGCAGCUGUUAUGAACUUCAAGGUGGAUGUUGUUGGUCAUUUUUUUGUAAUACCCUUCUCAAGAUUAACUUUCAAACUUCUUUCAAACUUCGUUUGCAAAUUAUUCUCAUCUGGUGAGUGAGCGGUCAGUUAUGUACAACGGCAAACCAAUCUGUUGGUAAAGCGACGCAAAGCCAACAAGCCAUGGCUUCCCUCAGAGGAAAAGACAAGGAGCAACUUGGAGAUGCAAAUGAGAGUAAUGAACAGCUAAAGGAUAUCGAAUGCUAAAAUGCUUUCAAUGCUAACAAAAAAAAAAAUAACUGUUACAAUCUGUUGUUAAUAAAGUAGUCUAUCGUGUCAGACAUGCACAUACAAUGCGUGCGCAAGAACGAACGAGACAACAAAAUUAGCCUUCUGGAAACAAAGUGGCAAACUUUAGAAGAUGAACUGAACCAGCAAGAAAACAGAGUGAGACAAAACAACAUGAGAAUAUUGUCCUUACUGGAAAAUGAGUAAAAAGGAGACCUUUCCAGCUACAUAUCAGAGGAGCUUGGCGUGGAUAUGUUACCAGAAGAUCUGGAACGAUGCCAUUGGAUCGGCGUGAAACAGAAGAAUGCUAAAUACCCUUGCAUGGUAAUCUUCUAGCUGUGGCACUAUCAGACCAAAGUCAACAUUCUGAAGGCACAGAGGGGAAAGGAGAUCAAAAUCCACAGCCAGUGCAUUCGAUUCGUCCAGGACCUGUCUGCUUAGCUGAGAAAAAAGUACAAGCAAUACAUUCCGAUCAAACAGUAACUGGAGGAAAAAGGAAUCAAGUCUCAAUUACGCAUCCUGGACAUUCUCAAGUGCCGAUGAAGCCUUACAUAGGCUGCAAUAAAUAUUUUCAGUUGAAGGAGAGCCCAUUGCCCUGAGGAGAGGACGAAGCAGGGGGAAAAACGCAGCUGCUGCUCUGAAGAACCAGUCAAACUGCUCCCAGCCGCAAGCCCUGCCCCCAAUACAGCACCUGAGAGAGUCAGGGUGCCAGGUCCAAAGCAACUGAUUAAAAGGUAAACUGCCCCACGUUGUGAAAUUCGUAUGAAAUCCAUUUAAUUAAUAUGACCUCACAAUUGAGGCUAGCUAAAUAACUUCCUACACAAAAGUCAUUUUAGCUGAGUCUGUUUUCUGUGUAGGUAGUUAUUGCCCACUACAAGAAUUGCCUAAUUUUCCCAGGAGGGGUUGUAACAUCAAGUUGCUAACAAUGAGGUCUAUGCCAAUACCUGCUGGUUAUACCUACUUGUCAUAUAUAAGUGAACGAUGAAAAAAAAUAUAACCUCACCAGUCAGACC
rnacentral:lncRNA from 1 species